ACCUACCUAUCGUUGCUUCGGCGGACUCGCCCCAGCCGGACGCGGACUGGACCAGCGGCCGCCGGGGACCAUCAAACUCUUGUAUUAUCAGCAUCUUCUGAAUACGCCGCAAGGCAAAACAAAUAAAUUAAAACUUUCAACAACGGAUCUCUUGGCUCUGGCAUCGAUGAAGAACGCAGCGAAAUGCGAUAAGUAAUGUGAAUUGCAGAAUCCAGUGAAUCAUCGAAUCUUUGAACGCACAUUGCGCCCGCCAGCAUUCUGGCGGGCAUGCCUGUUCGAGCGUCAUUUCAACCCUCGACCUCCCUUUGGGGAAGUCGGCGUUGGGGACCGGCAGCACACCGCCGGCCCUGAAAUGGAGUGGCGGCCCGUCCGCGGCGACCUCUGCGUAGUAAACCAACUCGCACCGGAACCCCGACGUGGCCACGCCGUAAAACACCCAACUUCUGAACGUUGACCUCGAAUCAGGUAGGACUACCCGCUGAACUUAAGCAUAUCAAUAGGCGGAGGAA
rnacentral:rRNA from 1 species